AGGCAUCAGCCCAGUAAGCAGAUGCUUGGGGCUGCUAAGGGAGAGGGGCAGCGCGUCAGGCUCUUCGGCCUGCGAUAGCAGCUUUUUUUUAUUUUAUUUUUAUUUUUGCUACUUGGAGCAGCAAAAACUCUGGAGCCCGCCCUCACAGUUUGGAGUUUGUUUCUGAUCAGAAAUUCAUCAGGGAGAAGGGAGCAACACAGAAUUCUGCCUGUGGGUGUAACUGACUCACACUGAUUUAGGGCAACAGGUUUUUUGAACAGCGCCUGAAUCUGGCAGAUUAAACCCCCAGAAUUCCUUAGAAUUUCGCACCGUGUUUGAGAAACUUUUUCUAAGGAAUUAUUCGUGACCGUGCUGCAGCGUUUCUUGAGACCCGUCCCCAGGCGGCAGGAGUGACUGAUUUAGCGCCUGCGAGUCUCUUUGCCGGCCGGGACAGCGCUCCGGCUAUGCGCGCUCUGGGGGGUUCCGGCCUGCGGGCGCUGCUCUCAGAGCCCUUGUCUCAGCCAGAACUCCGGAGCAACUCUUCCUUGGUGGGCUCCACCAUCGAAUUUGUCUGUAAGGUGCCAAUAGGGAAAGUUGAUUCCUAUCAGCGGAAGAAGGAUGGCAAGCGUCUCCCUGAAGACAGUCACUUCCUGCUCUUUCAGAAUGACAGCAUUUUAUGUAUACUGAACACAGCACUGUCUGACAAUGGGGUGUACACCUGUGAAGUCAGCAAUCAAGUCAGCUGGUAUGAAACCUCCCUGAAACUAGACAUCCAGAGUAAGUGGGCAUUUAAUUUUAAUGCAACAAACAGAAUUGCAAAUCAAAUCAAAUUCCAGUAACAAAUGACCCCAGUGGUAUUUCUGGGUGGGUUGAGGAGAGGCAGGUUGGCAGGGAGGGAGGAGGAGGAGGAAAAUGAUCAGAGGUUGUUGAAUAACGCUUGGUUACAUUUUCAAGAAGAUUGAUAGAUUCCAGGCCAGAAGGGACCAUUGUGAUCAUCUAGUCUGCCCUCCUGUGUAAUACAGGCCAGAGAACUUUUCCCACAAUAAUUCCUAGAGCAGAUCUUUCAGAAAAACAUCCAGUCUUGAUUUAAAGAUUGUCAGUGAUGGAGAACCCACCACAGCCUUUGGUAUAGUGUUCCAAUGGUUAAUUACUCUCACUAUUAAAAAUUUACACCUUUAUGUCCAGUCUGAAUUUCUAUAGCUUCAACUUCCAGCCAUUGCAUUGUGGAUAUGUUGGAACUGUACACUAGUGCUGGUUGAAAACUUACCAUCAACUCUUUUUAGGCUAAAUGAAAAAUUUUGCUUGAAAAAUUUAAUUCCCCCCAUCCCCCACAAGACAACCUGAAAAGUUUUGAGAUUGUGUGUGUGCGUGCAUACGCACGUGUGUGUUGUUUUGAAGAAAAGUCAAAAUUUUCUGCAGGAUUUUUUCACACCAAUCAGCUCUACUGUUUAUCUAUUGAUGCACAAUUGCACAUACAUGUAAUUCAGUGCUUCAGAGCAUAACACUUAUUGUGGUCGUAAAUACGGCCCUGAAUUAUCAAAACACUCAGCAAAGCUCUUAAGUACGUUCCUAACUUUAAGCAUUUGAGUAGUCUGAAAAUGGAACAUAAACACAUGCCUAAGUGCCUCUUUUAUUAUAAGUGGGUUAUCUUCACUUGUGGACAUUGGUUUAAAGAUGUAGAUGCACCUUGAAAUAAUCUAACACCUAAGCUGAGUAUCUGUGCUUAGGCGAUGCAUUUGCACUCAGAAGUAAUGAGGAUGUAUUUAAAAUGAGCCUGAACCAACCUGUCCAAAUCUAAAUACACCCAGAAUCUGAGAGAACUUGAGACCCAUCCCAGAC
ensembl:lncRNA